rnacentral:rRNA from 1 species
UGAGGAAUAUUGGGCAAUGGACGCAAGUCUGACCCGGCCAUGCCGCGUGCAGGAUGACGGCGCUAUGCGUUGUAAACUGCUUUUAUACAGGAAGAAACCCUCCUACGUGUAGGAGGUUGACGGUACUGUGAGAAUAAGCAUCGGCUAACUCCGUGCCAGCAGCCGCGGUAAUACGGAGGAUGCAAGCGUUAUCCGGAUUUAUUGGGUUUAAAGGGUGCGCAGGCGGGGCAAUAAGUCAGUGGUGAAAUCCUGCGGCUUAACCGUAGAACUGCCAUUGAUACUGUUGCCCUAGAGUAUAGUUGAGGUGGGCGGAAUAUGUAAUGUAGCGGUGAAAUGCAUAGAGAUUACAUAGAACACCAAUUGCGAAGGCAGCUCACUAAGCUAUCACUGACGCUGAGGCACGAAAGCGUGGGGAGCGAACAGGAUUAGAUACCCUGGUAGUCCACGCCGUAAACGAUGAUCACUCGUUGUUGGCAAUACAUCGUCAGCGACUGAGCGAAAGCAUUAAGUGAUCCACCUGGGGAGUACGAUCGCAAGAUUG